rnacentral:rRNA from 1 species
UACGGAGGGGGCUAGCGUUGUUCGGAAUUACUGGGCGUAAAGCGCACGUAGGCGGACUGUUAAGUCGGGGGUGAAAUCCUGGAGCUCAACUCCAGAACUGCCUUCGAUACUGGAAGACUUGAGUCCGGGAGAGGUGAGUGGAACUGCGAGUGUAGAGGUGAAAUUCGUAGAUAUUCGCAAGAACACCAGUGGCGAAGGCGGCUCACUGGCCCGGUACUGACGCUGAGGUGCGAAAGCGUGGGGAGCAAACAGG